rnacentral:rRNA from 1 species
UACGAAGGGGGCUAGCGUUGUUCGGAAUUACUGGGCGUAAAGCGCGCGCAGGCGGCUAUCCAAGUCAGUGGUGAAAGCCCGGAGCUCAACUCCGGAACUGCCUUCGAUACUGGCGAUCUUGAGUCCGGGAGAGGUGAGUGGAACUCCGAGUGUAGAGGUGAAAUUCGUAGAUAUUCGGAAGAACACCAGUGGCGAAGGCGGCUCACUGGCCCGGUACUGACGCUGAGGUGCGAAAGCGUGGGGAGCAAACAGG